CCUCAGAGGGUUUGCAUCACCACAUUACCAGACAAGUGAAGAGGUUGGACUUGUUUGCGUCGGCUGUUCCUGACUUGGACACUGUUGCUUUGCAGCCCUCCUGAUUUUGGCCCCUGGACCUGGUGGUUGUAUCAGAAGUCCCUUGCCACCACUGGUAGUUAACCUGCUGUGCGAGAAGGCUGGUUUGAGGGAGGGAGAUGAUUUACAGCUCGUGCACAGAAGUUUAUUUGUGCAGAUCUGAUGCCAAUGGUUCCAUCUGAUGUCUGCAGAAAACAGGAGGUUACUCAGGUCCCUGACCACUGGAACGGGGUGGGACGAUUACGGAAUAAGUCAGCUGCCAAGUGAAAGGGGGAAGAUCUGCCUGAAGUCAGGAGACCCCCUGUCCGACUGCAAUCUUCCCUUGCAAUUG